GUCGAACGAUGAUGCCCAGCUUGCUGGGUGGAUUAGUGGCGAACGGGUGAGUAACACGUGAGUAACCUGCCCUUGACUCUGGGAUAAGCCUGGGAAACUGGGUCUAAUACCGGAUAUGACCUUUCACCGCAUGGUGGGGGGUGGAAAGCUUUUGUGGUUUUGGAUGGACUCGCGGCCUAUCAGCUUGUUGGUGGGGUAAUGGCCUACCAAGGCGAUGACGGGUAGCCGGCCUGAGAGGGUGACCGGCCACACUGGGACUGAGACACGGCCCAGACUCCUACGGGAGGCAGCAGUGGGGAAUAUUGCACAAUGGGCGGAAGCCUGAUGCAGCGACGCCGCGUGAGGGAUGACGGCCUUCGGGUUGUAAACCUCUUUCAGUAGGGAAGAAGCGUAAGUGACGGUACCUGCAGAAGAAGCGCCGGCUAACUACGUGCCAGCAGCCGCGGUAAUACGUAGGGCGCAAGCGUUAUCCGGAAUUAUUGGGCGUAAAGAGCUCGUAGGCGGUUUGUCGCGUCUGCUGUGAAAGACCGGGGCUCAACUCCGGUUCUGCAGUGGGUACGGGCAGACUAGAGUGAUGUAGGGGAGACUGGAAUUCCUGGUGUAGCGGUGAAAUGCGCAGAUAUCAGGAGGAACACCGAUGGCGAAGGCAGGUCUCUGGGCAUUAACUGACGCUGAGGAGCGAAAGCAUGGGGAGCGAACAGGAUUAGAUACCCUGGUAGUCCAUGCCGUAAACGUUGGGCACUAGGUGUGGGGGACAUUCCACGUUUUCCGCGCCGUAGCUAACGCAUUAAGUGCCCCGCCUGGGGAGUACGGCCGCAAGGCUAAAACUCAAAGGAAUUGACGGGGGCCCGCACAAGCGGCGGAGCAUGCGGAUUAAUUCGAUGCAACGCGAAGAACCUUACCAAGGCUUGACAUGGACCGGACCGGGCUGGAAACAGUCCUUCCCUUCGGGGCUGGUUCACAGGUGGUGCAUGGUUGUCGUCAGCUCGUGUCGUGAGAUGUUGGGUUAAGUCCCGCAACGAGCGCAACCCUCGUUCCAUGUUGCCAGCGGGUUAUGCCGGGGACUCAUGGGAGACUGCCGGGGUCAACUCGGAGGAAGGUGGGGACGACGUCAAAUCAUCAUGCCCCUUAUGUCUUGGGCUUCACGCAUGCUACAAUGGCCGGUACAAUGGGUUGCGAUACUGUGAGGUGGAGCUAAUCCCAAAAAGCCGGUCUCAGUUCGGAUUGGGGUCUGCAACUCGACCCCAUGAAGUCGGAGUCGCUAGUAAUCGCAGAUCAGCAACGCUGCGGUGAAUACGUUCCCGGGC
rnacentral:rRNA from 1 species